UACGUAGGGACCAAGCGUUGUCCGGAAUCAUUGGGCGUAAAGAGCGUGUAGGCGGCUUGUUAAGUCUUGCGUGAAAUCUCGGGGCUCAACCCCGAGCGGUCGUGAGAAACUGGCAGGCUAGAGUGCGGGAGAGGAGAGUGGAAUUCCUGGUGUAGCGGUGAAAUGCGCAGAUAUCAGGAAGAACACCGGUGGCGAAGGCGGGUCUCUGGGCCGAUACUGACGCUGAGGAGCGAAAGCGUGGGGAGCGAACAGG
rnacentral:rRNA from 1 species